GCGAUAGUGGCGGAAUUGGUAGACGCACUGGAUUUAGGUUCCAGCGCCGCGAGGCGUGAGAGUUCGAGUCUCUCCUUUCGCACCA
rnacentral:tRNA from 1 species